GAGAUGUGGAAGGGUAUCAGGCCCAUUGAUCUGGUCCAAGUCAUGCAAAAGACCAGUAGAAAGGUAGAGCUGGACAGGGUGGGUGGGUCUCGUGCCACUUUGUCUCUGUGUCUUUGCUUAGUUCAAACCUUCUAGGAGACAAGUAGACUGUGGUUUGUGAGUGGGUAUCUGGCUGCUGAACUGGCCUGUGUCUUUCAUUACUGAGGACUUUCUUGGAAGCACACAGUCUAUAGGUGUGGGUGGGUGAUUUUCUGAGAUUUGUUUUUAAUUUCACCCAAGUAAUUACUGAAGAGACACAGGAUUCCUGUCCUUAUCUCUGUGCAUCAAAUCUUGCACUUUCCUGUCCCUGUGCAGAGCCAAAGCAGUUAGUAUCCACUUCCCCCAACCCCCCUUUUCUCAAGCAUAGAUGCCUCCUGCCUUUGGAGAGGGCAAACAGGAGCCCAGUCUGGUGCCCAAAUAGUGCAGUCCCUUUUUAGUGACAGUACCCCCUCCCCUGAUUAACCACCAGCAUUUGUCUGGUGCAGAUGGCUCCUCCCAUUGAGGAAGCAGGAACCAAUAUCCUUCAAAUGAUAAGAGCCCACUCUUGGACUAUGGGAAAGAGGGAUGCCAUGGAUCAGGGAAGCCCAG
rnacentral:lncRNA from 1 species